CCUACGGGAGGCAGCAGUGGGGAAUAUUGGACAAUGGGGGGAACCCUGAUCCAGCCAUGCCGCGUGUGUGAAGAAGGCCCUCGGGUUGUAAAGCACUUUCAGUGAGGAAGAACGCCUGGUGGUUAAUACCCAUCAGGAAAGACAUCACUCACAGAAGAAGCACCGGCUAACUCCGUGCCAGCAGCCGCGGUAAUACGGAGGGUGCGAGCGUUAAUCGGAAUUACUGGGCGUAAAGCGCGCGUAGGUGGCUUGAUAAGCCGGUUGUGAAAGCCCCGGGCUCAACCUGGGAACGGCAUCCGGAACUGUCAAGCUAGAGUGCAGGAGAGGAAGGUAGAAUUCCCGGUGUAGCGGUGAAAUGCGUAGAGAUCGGGAGGAAUACCAGUGGCGAAGGCGGCCUUCCGGACUGACACUGACACUGAGGUGCGAAAGCGUGGGUAGCAAACAGGAUUAGAUACCCCAGUAGUC
rnacentral:rRNA from 1 species